GAAGAAAGAGUGAUGCGUGCCUAAUACAUGCAAGUUGAGCGCUGAAGGUUGGUACUUGUACCAACUGGAUGAGCAGCGAACGGGUGAGUAACGCGUGGGGAAUCUGCCUUUGAGCGGGGGACAACAUUUGGAAACGAAUGCUAAUACCGCAUAAAAACUUUAAACACAAGUUUUAAGUUUGAAAGAUGCAAUUGCAUCACUCAAAGAUGAUCCCGCGUUGUAUUAGCUAGUUGGUGAGGUAAAGGCUCACCAAGGCGAUGAUACAUAGCCGACCUGAGAGGGUGAUCGGCCACAUUGGGACUGAGACACGGCCCAAACUCCUACGGGAGGCAGCAGUAGGGAAUCUUCGGCAAUGGACGAAAGUCUGACCGAGCAACGCCGCGUGAGUGAAGAAGGUUUUCGGAUCGUAAAACUCUGUUGGUAGAGAAGAACGUUGGUGAGAGUGGAAAGCUCAUCAAGUGACGGUAACUACCCAGAAAGGGACGGCUAACUACGUG
rnacentral:rRNA from 1 species